UAGGGAAUCUUCGGCAAUGGACGAAAGUCUGACCGAGCAACGCCGCGUGAGUGAAGAAGGUUUUCGGAUCGUAAAACUCUGUUGUUAGAGAAGAACAAGGACGUUAGUAACUGAACGUCCCCUGACGGUAUCUAACCAGAAAGCCACGGCUAACUACGUGCCAGCAGCCGCGGUAAUACGUAGGUGGCAAGCGUUGUCCGGAUUUAUUGGGCGUAAAGCGAGCGCAGGCGGUUUCUUAAGUAUGAUGUAAAAGCCCCCGGCUCAACCGGGGAGGGUCAUUGGAAACUGGGAGACUUGAGUGCAGAAGAGGAGAGUGGAAUUCCAUGUGUAGCGGUGAAAUGCGUAGAUAUAUGGAGGAACACCAGUGGCGAAGGCGGCUCUCUGGUCUGUAACUGACGCUGAGGCUCGAAAGCGUGGGGAGCAAACAGG
rnacentral:rRNA from 1 species